UGUAAAGUUCAAGCUUUGAUUUAAGAAGCGAAACCGCGAAUGGCUCAUUAAAUCAGUCAUAAUCUACUUGAUUGUUUGAAGGUUAUAUGGAUAACUGUGGUAAUUCUAGAGCUAAUACAUGCGCAAAUGGGGCGACUAGCGAUAGAAGCUCCGCGUUUAUUAGACUAAGACCAGCAUUAGCUGAGUGGUGACUCUGAGUAAAUAACGGGUGAAAGCCCGUGUUGCCGACCUGGGUGCUUAACACACCCAGGCGAAUCAAUCGAGUGUCUGCUCUAUCAACUGUGGAUGGUAGGAUAACGGCCUACCAUGGUGGUGACGGGUAACGGGGAGUUAGGGCUCGACUCCGGAGAACAAGCCUGAGAAACGGCUAGUAGGACUAAGGUCUGCAGCAGGCGCGAAACUUACACAAUGCUCGAUUAAGUUGGAGCGAUGUAGUGAAGAAAAAUAACGAUGUGUUUGUAUUUAAACAUACUGACACAAUUGGAAUGAGACGACUUUAAAUUAGUUAGUCGAGUAACAAAUGGAGGGCAAGUCUGGUGCCAGCAGCCGCGGUAAUUCCAGCUCCAUUAGCAUACAUUAAAGUUGUUGCGGUUAAAAAGCUCGUAGUUGAAGUGUAGGUUGUUAGGUUGGAUCGUAGUCCGUUAAGGGUUUCUUCGGAUUCCUGGUCUACACAUCCACAUCUCACAACUGUUUCGUCACUUAAUCGAGUGCGAAGCGGGGUUGAUAUAUGCGCCUCACGGUGCACAUACCAACCAUGUUUACCUUGAGAAAAUUAGAGUGCUCAGAGCAGGCAGUUGGGGUUUAAUCGCCCCUCUAUGCUUGAAUAAUGUUGCAUGGAAUAAUAGAAUACGGCCUCGGUUCUAUUCUGUUGGUCUUAUAGAACAACAAACAGGUUGCGUUGGGAAAGUUAUCUGGGCUCAGGUUGUGUUGUCUUGGUCUUAACCGACCAAGUACCGCGCCUCCAGUGUAACAUCAAACCCCACACAACUGAGGCAAUGGUUAAAAGAAAUAGUCGCGGCGGCAUCAGUACUGCAUCGUGAGAGGUGAAAUUCUUAGACCGAUGCAAGACUAACUGAAGCGAAAGCGUUUGCCGAGGAUAUUUUCAUUAAUCAAGAACGAAAGUUAGAGGUUCGAAGGCGAUCAGAUACCGCCCUAGUUCUAACCAUAAACGUUGCCAACUAGCAAUUGGGAUGCGGUUUUCUUGCAGUGAAUAGCUAACCGCUAUAAUCUCUGCACCACGACCCUCCCAGCGGCUCUCGUAGGGAAACCAAAGUGUUUGGGUUCCGGGGGAAGUAUGAUUGCAAAGUUGAAACUUAAAGGAAUUGACGGAAGGGCACCACCAGGAGUGGAGCCUGCGGCUUAAUUUGACUCAACACGGGGAAACUUACUAGAUUAGAACUCUGGAAUGAUUGACAGAUUGAUAGCUCUUUCUUGAUUCAGAGGAUGGUGGUGCAUGGCCGUUCUUGAUUCGUAUUCCGAAACGUCUGCUUAAUUGCGAUAACGAGUGAGACCUCAACCGAUUAACUAGGGGUAUAGUGUGUUAGGGGACAAAACGUUGGUUGUUGUGUGUGAUGGGUUUCGGCCUGUCACUACUUCUUUCCAAUACUCCAUGCCCGCUUGCCGCCUUCUUAGUGGGAUAAACGGUGUUUUAGCCGUAAGAAACGAGGCAAUAACAGGUCUGUGAUGCCCUUAGAUACUCUAGGCCGCACGCGUGCUACAAUGGCGUGUGCAGAGAGCUUGUUCAAAGUUCAACCAGUGGAGAGGUGGCGAGUUGGUUUGUGGUAGGGGCAACUUUGCCAUAGAUCGCUUGUUAACCGACACUGGACCUGAGCUGCGAGAAACCUGGGUCGAGAGAUCCAGGCAAUCAUGAAUACACGCCGUGAUUUGGGAUUGGGGAUUGCAAUUGUUGCCCAUGAACGAGGAAUUCCCAGUAAGCGCGAUUCAUCAUAUCGCGUUGAUUACGUCCCUGCCCUUUGUACACACCGCCCGUCGCUACUACCGAUUGGAAGUUUUAGUGAGGCAUUUGGAUGCGUAGUUAAACGAGGGGCAACUCUCAUUAACAGUGCAGAAGUCUGUCGAACUCAAAUUUCUAGAGGAAGUAAAAGUCGUAACAAGGUUUCCGU
rnacentral:rRNA from 1 species